rnacentral:lncRNA from 1 species
CGAGGGGGCUGCAUUUAGCUACAUUUAUUCCAAGACAGGUGAAGAGGUGGCAUGGGAACACAUAGGUCCUUAAAAUUAGAUGAAUUGCAUCUAAAGAUAUUUUUUAAACUUGCAGGUAUAAUCUCAGAGAUUCAGUAUGUAAUCUUUGAUAAUUCUUGGUGAACAGAUGAAUUCGAUGCAAACUGGAUGUGGAUGAGUGUUAUCUUCAUUUAAAAGGGAGGGGGAUCUGAUCAACUACUGGCUAGUCAACUUGAUGGUGACAGCAGAAAAAUUCUAGAAUUUUGCAUUUAUGCCUAUUGAAUUUCAUUUUAUUAUUGUCUGCCCAACUUACUUAUAACCUAGGUCAUGUUGAAUUUUAUCUUCCAAUGUGUUGGUCACCCCCCUCCCCACUUUUGUAUCAGCCCAAAAACUGAUAAGGUUCCUUUAAACCCAGUCAUCUAAGUCACUGAUAAAAAUGCUGAAGAGUAAUGGCCCUGGGACAGAACCCCAAAGCACUCCAUUCACAACCUCCUUCCAGUUUGAAGAGCAGCUGUUGAUUAUGACUCUUUAACCAGAGUUUCCCAAUUAACUAUGGAUUCAUCUGACAGUGUUCCCAUUUAUUCCAUAAGUGAAAUAACAGCAUCACUCUGUUCUGCUUUGCUCAGAUCUCACCAAGCAAACUAUAAGAUAAAGAACAACUCCCAAGAAUGUAGCCACACAGGUGACAACGUUUCCCAUUAAAUUUCCUUCAUUCUACAAAUUUCCAGAUUUGCUGUAACAUAAAACUUCACUUCUCUCCAUCGCCUUAUUAUGGAAAUGAUUGGUGUUGAGCUAACCAGAACUGAGUUACGAGGAGAAAGAUGUUAAAAGACUACAAACUGCUUUGAAAACAACGUGCUUUGUAAGUAAUAAUGAAUACAAACAAAGAUAGCCAUGUGCGAUUAGUACCUGAAAUAUACCAUUGCUCUGUGUCAUGUAGAGAUUUUAAAACACUUACACACAUGCAGCUAGGAAGCCAAGGGGUUCAGGAAUAACCUUGCUGGGUGUGGGCACGGCAUGAAACUCUAAUACAAGAAGAGACACUACCAAGAUUAGAAGUCAUGCUCUGAUUAGUUUAUUCAUUAGUCAGUCAUGUUUCUAGCCUGCUGUUCCUCUUAAAUUUGUUCAGGGCAAUGUUGCUGCUAUGUGAUAAUACUUUAGUCUAGAUAUACUGUUAACUAGUCUACCACAAGCUGGUAACAUCCAGAUCUUUUAGUCUCUAUUUCCCAUCCUGGACAAUGAGGAAUUAGUCUAAGACAUCUUCAGGGCACCAGUUUUAGGAGAGGCUGGGUUAAGUAUUUGUUUUUAGAGGAGAAGACUUCA